UACGAAGGGGGCUAGCGUUGCUCGGAAUGACUGGGCGUAAAGGGCGCGUAGGCGGCUUGCACAGUCAGGCGUGAAAUUCCUGGGCUCAACCUGGGGACUGCGCUUGAGACGUGUGGGCUUGAGUGGGGAAGAGGGUCGUGGAAUUCCCAGUGUAGAGGUGAAAUUCGUAGAUAUUGGGAAGAACACCGGUGGCGAAGGCGGCGACCUGGUCCUUGACUGACGCUGGAGGCGACGAAAGCGUGGGGAGCAAACAGG
rnacentral:rRNA from 1 species